rnacentral:rRNA from 1 species
GACGUAGGGCGCGAGCGUUGUCCGGAUUUAUUGGGCGUAAAGAGCUCGUAGGCGGCUUGUCGCGUCGACCGUGAAAACUUGGGGCUCAACCCCAAGCCUGCGGUCGAUACGGGCAGGCUAGAGUUCGGUAGGGGAGACUGGAAUUCCUGGUGUAGCGGUGAAAUGCGUAGAUAUCUGGAGGAACACCGGUGGCGAAGGCGGCAUCCUGGACCGGUAUUGACGCUGAGGCGCGAAAGCCAGGGGAGCAAACGGG